AGAGUUUGAUUCUGGCUCAGAAUCAACGCUGGCGGCGUGCCUAACACAUGCAAGUCGCGCGCGAAAGGGGGGCAACCCCCAAGUAGAGCGGCGAACGGGUGAGUAACGCGUGGGUGAUCUUCCUUCGAGUGGGGAAUAACACCGGGAAACUGGUGCUAAUACCGCAUGACAUCCCUGGUUCAUUCCGGGGAUCAAAGCCGGGGACCGCAAGGCCUGGCGCUUGAAGAUAAGCCCGCGUCCGAUUAGCUAGUUGGCGGGGUAACGGCCCACCAAGGCUCCGAUCGGUAGCCGGCCUGAGAGGGCGGACGGCCACACUGGGACUGAGACACGGCCCAGACUCCUACGGGAGGCAGCAGUGGGGAAUUUUUCGCAAUGGGGGAAACCCUGACGAAGCAACGCCGCGUGGAGGAUGAAGGCCUUCGGGUCGUAAACUCCUGUCGACCGGGAAGAAUGCACCUGACCUAAUACGUCGGCGUGUUGACUGUACCGGUGGAGGAAGCCACGGCUAACUCUGUGCCAGCAGCCGCGGUAAU
rnacentral:rRNA from 1 species